UUUUUCUUUUGUCUCUUUUCUCAUUCUCAUUCAAAGCCUCCCUCUUUUUCCCUUGCCUCUCUUGCUCUCCUUUCUUUUUGUUCGUUCCUCUAAAAAAACUCCAGUGCUAUCCUCCUCUCUUCUUUGUAUCUCCUUUUUCCUCUUUGUGUUUUGUAAACCUUAAUCCAGUUCUUCUUUCUACAACUCCCCCUUGCUCGUCAUUUCCUCAGUCCCUCUCUGUCUCUUACCUCCCUCUUUCCUGCAAUCCACUGAGAAGAUGAUGCCUCGUAUAAAGAAAAGCAAGGUGAUGAAACUCUGACCGAUCUGGGGGAGGUUAGAUCAAAGGUUUUCUUAGAUGUCCAAAAGUGAAGCCAAAGGCUAAGUCCUUUUUUCCUUUCUCUAUUUUACUUCUAUUUAUUUUGAGAUUUCUUCAUUUUGAGGUUUUUGAUAAGUGUGUGUGAUACCAAUGAUGAGUUGUUUGUGAUGGUUUGGAUGUUAGAGUGCAUGAAUAUCGGACUUGCACAUGGGGUUUUAGGUAGGAUUAGGUUUCAAAUUUGGGGACAAACAUGAGUUAACUCGUCUCCAGCUCAGUGGGUGAUGCUCGGGUUGUUUCGUGCAAGUCAACUCGGCGUGUCAUGCGGCUCUUUGCGGGUCCUAGUGAGGGGAUUUGUUGAGCUAGAUGGCAGCAUGGGAAUGGCGGGCAAAGCAUCUACCAUUAUUAUUGCUUAUUAUUUUGUUUUAUUUAUUUCUUUUUAUUAUAUAUUUUUUUCAAUUUCCUUUUCUUCUAACUAACUAAUCUGUUUUUUUCUUUUCUGCGCGUAGGCGAAAUUCUAGGUGGGCAACUAUAACUUGUGGGCUUUUGGGGAGCCUCUAGGUGGUGGCAUGGGAAUGGCGCAUCAAGAAGUUUCUUUUCGCUUUUUGUAUUUUUUAUCUUCUAUGUUUUGUAUUUUUAUUUGUUUCUAUUUCUUUGUAUUCUACAUGCUGAUGUAUGAACCCCCCAUGUUUCCUUUCAUGCAACUUUAAUUUGUACACCUUCCCUGUAUUUUCUAGUUGGCAGCUUGUAUAUGUUAUUUCCCUGCACCUUAUGUAUUAUUUGCUUGCAUGUGUCA